GACCUCAGUGGCAGAGGGCUGGCUUUGCAAGCAGACUGUCCCCGGUUCAAUCCCUGGCAUCUACA